rnacentral:tRNA from 1 species
GCAUUGGUGGUUCACUGGUAGAAUUCUUGCCUGCCACGCGGGAGACCCGGGUCUGGUUUCUGGCCAAUGCA